GAUAUAAUGGCGAAAGAGAAUGUCACGCGUGUCCACAGUGUCCCUGCCGAGAAUCAACCCCUGACCGUCCAGUACGAAGUGGUAACCAACUGAGGGAUCGUAGUUAGCAUGCGCGCUGCAACAUGAUGAUUUUAAUUAUUGCGCCAUUCAGCCUCGCAGAAGACAUUUUCAGCCCUGACACAAAUUGGCCAAAGCCACAAUUUGAAGCUUCUGAAACGAACAACCAACCAUACUAUUAGGAUCCGA